rnacentral:rRNA from 1 species
AACGAACGCUGGCGGCAUGCCUAACACAUGCAAGUCGAACGGGAUCCAGGCUUCGGCCUGGUGAGAGUGGCGGACGGGUGAGUAACACGUGGGAACCUGCCUUUUGGUUCGGGAUAACCGCGGGAAACUGCGGCUAAUACCGGAUGCUCCCGAGAGGGGGAAAGAUUUAUCGCCAGAAGAGGGGCCCGCGUCCGAUUAGGUAGUUGGUGAGGUAAUGGCUCACCAAGCCGACGAUCGGUAGCUGGUCUGAGAGGAUGAUCAGCCACACUGGGACUGAGAUACGGCCCAGACUCCGUACGGGAGGCAGCA